rnacentral:rRNA from 1 species
GACGAACCGUGCGAACGUUAUUCGGAAUCAUUGGGCUUAAAGGGCGCGUAGGCGGCGGUGUAAGUUGGAAGUGAAAUCCCAUCGGCUCAACCGUGGAAUUGCUCCCAGUACUGCAUCGCUCGAGGGGGAUAGGGGUUUGCGGAACUACCGGUGGAGCGGUGAAAUGUGUUGAUAUCGGUGGGAACGCCAGUGGCGAAAGCGGCAAACUUGACCCUCCUGACGCUGAGGCGCGAAAGCUAGGGGAGCAAACGGG